UACUUCUCUACCUUGCGUACGUAUCUUGUACAUCUCACGUACGUAUGUUGUACAUCUGCGUAUAUAGCUUCUCCAUCUUGCAUAUGUAUCUUCUCCAUCUCUCAUACAUAUCUUCUCAAUGUUGUAUACAUGUGUUCUCUCUCUCACGUACACAUAGACUUUAUUUCAAGCAUUCUAUCAUAUACGUAUAUGUGAGAGUAAAUACAUAUUUUAUGGAUAAGUACAUAGCUUGUGCGUGUCACGUGUGUAGCUUCUCCAUCUUGCAUAUAUAUAUCUUCUCCAUGUCUCAUACACAUCUUCGGACUCUUGUGUACAUGUGUUCUCUCUCACGUACACAUAGACUUUAUUUCAUGCAUUCUCUCAAAUACAUAUAUGUGAGAGUAAAUACAUAUAUAUGGAUAAGUACAUAGCUUGUAGCUUGUGCAUCUCGCAUACAUAGCUUAUGUGUCAGGUGUAUGUAGUUUCUCCAUCUUGCAUAUCUAUCUUCUAAAUCUUGUGUACGUGUUCUCUCUCACACAUACGCAUAGACUUUAUCAUGCAUUUUCUCAUAUAUGUACAUGUGAGAGCAAAUACGCUUGUGCAUCUCACGUACAUAGCUUGUGUGUCUCACGUACAUACAUAUUUAUCUUCUCCAUAUCUAAUACAUAUCUCCUAAAUCUUGCAUACGUUUUCUCUCACGUACAGACACAUAUAGACUUUAUCUUGUGCAUUCUCUCAUAUACAUGUGUGUAUGAAUAAGUGAGAAUACAUUUCUGUAUGUGAGAGUAAUAAAAAAAAUAAUUGUGGCUUGCAGGACCACUCACAGACAGUUGGUAUUAGUUGUAUUUCUCAGUCAUGCAAGAUGCAAAUAAGAAUGAACUCCUGCUAACAGUUCGGCGUGACACAACCACACCGCUACCAUCGUUUUCAUUGAAUUAUUUUGUCUCUUCUUCCUCAUUAACAUGUGUUUCUGUGUCUGUGUAAAGUGGUACGCAUAUAUUUAUUUUCAAAUUAUAUUGUUUUUAUAUAAAAUAAGCAAAAGGUUGCUGUGUUGUGAAUGCUGUGUUUUCAAGCUAUUUAAUUGAGGCUACGUGAGUUUUCCGUGUGUGUACAGCAAGGUGAUUCUCAUUGAGCAAGAACCCCUGAAGAAUGUACUCAGGAAGUAACUAGAAGCAAGAGAUUCCUGAGGGUUUUUAUGAGAGGCAGGAAGAAACCCAGCCUCGUGAAUAAAAUUGCACUUUGAAGGAA